rnacentral:tRNA from 1 species
UAAGGUAUAGCUCAAGUGGUAGAGUGUGUGCUUAGCAGGCACAAAGUCCUGGGUUCAAUCCCCAGUAUCUCUU